rnacentral:rRNA from 1 species
AUUGAACGCUGGCGGCAGGCCUAACACAUGCAAGUCGAGCGGAUGAAGAGAGCUUGCUCUCUGAUUUAGCGGCGGACGGGUGAGUAAUGCCUAGGAAUCUGCCUGGUAGUGGGGGAUAACGUUCCGAAAGGAACGCUAAUACCGCGUACGUCCUACGGGAGAAAGAAGGGGACCUUCGGGGCUUGCGCUCUCAGAUGGGCCUAGGUCGGAUUAGCUAGUUGGUGAGGUAAUGGCUCACCAAGGCGACGAUCCGUAACUGGUCUGAGAGGAUGAUCAGUCACACUGGAACUGAGACACGGUCCAGACUCCUACGGGAGGCAGCAGUGGGGAAUAUUGGACAAUGGGCGAAAGCCUGAUCCGGCCAUGCCGCGUGUGUGAAGAAGGUCUUCGGAUUGUAAAGCACUUUAAGUUGGGAGGAAGGGCAGUAAGUUAAUACCUUGCUGUUUUGACGUUACCGACAGAAUAAGCACCGGUUAACUUCGUGCCAGCCGCCGCAGUAACAC